rnacentral:rRNA from 1 species
UACAGAGGGUGCGAGCGUUAAUCGGAAUUACUGGGCGUAAAGCGUGCGCAGGCGGUUGUACAAGACCGGUGUGAAAUCCCCGGGCUUAACCUGGGAACUGCACUUGUGACUGUACGACUGGAGUACGGCAGAGGGGGAUGGAAUUCCGCGUGUAGCAGUGAAAUGCGUAGAUAUGCGGAGGAACACCGAUGGCGAAGGCAAUCCCCUGGGCCUGUACUGACGCUCAUGCACGAAAGCGUGGGGAGCAAACAGG